AUACGUAGGUGGCAAGCGUUAUCCGGAAUUACUGGGCGUAAAGCGCACGCAGGCGGCCAGUCAAGUCUGACGUGAAAGCUCCUGGCUUAACUGGGAGAGGUCGUUGGAAACUGAUUGGCUUGAGGCAAUGAGAGGGACACGGAAUUCCCGGUGUAGUGGUGGAAUGCGUAGAUAUCGGGAGGAACACCAGUGGCGAAAGCGGUGUCCUGGCAUUGACCUGACGCUCAUGUGCGAAAGCGUGGGGAGCGAACGGGAUUAGAAACCCUGGUAGUCC
rnacentral:rRNA from 1 species